rnacentral:tRNA from 1 species
AAUUAAUGAGCUUGUUAAUAAGCAUUUGUUUUGAAAACAUAAGAAAGAAUAAUUAUUCUAUUAAUUU